rnacentral:rRNA from 1 species
ACUCAAAUGAAUUGACGGGGGCCCGCACAAGCGGUGGAGUAUGUGGUUUAAUUCGAAGCAACGCGCAGAACCUUACCUGGGCUUAACAUCCUUUGACAAUCUCAGAGAUGAGACUUUCCCUUCGGGGACAAAGUGAUAGGUGCUGCAUGGCUGUCGUCAGCUCGUGUCGUAAGAUGUUGGGUUAAGUCCCGCAACGAGCGCAACCCUUACCUUUAGUUGCCAUCAUUAAGUUGGGAACUCUAAAGGGACCGCCGGUGUUAAACCGGAGGAAGGCGGGGAUGACGUCAAGUCCUCAUGGCCCUUACGUCCAGGGCUACACACGUACUACAAUGGCGGAGUCAAAGCGUUCCGAAACCGCAAGGUGGAGGCAAUCGCAAAAAAACCGCCUCAGUUCGGAUUGAAGUCUGCAACUCGACUUCAUGAAGCUGGAAUCGCUAGUAAUCGAAGAUCAGCACGCUUCGGUGAAUACGUUCCCGGGCCUUGUACACACCGCCCGU